GGGUUCACCUGAUAGAGUCGAGGAUGUGUGUAGUCUACAUGUGAGGGUUCACCUGAUAGAGAGAAGGACUGGAGCACACAGCAAUACGAAUAUUAGUGUGGAGUGAUAACAUUACUAGUUGUGAGAGUCUCCUUUUCCCCGGCUGAGCUGAGAUGGACGUGCGUCUGACCCGUUCCACUGGGGGAGAACCCAGAGGAGUAUCAGCUAAGGAUCAUGGGAGAUAGAAUCCGGAGACAAGUGCUGACUUCCUACAAAGAGGAGCUGGUCAGAGCUGCACAGAGUACUCCUGUGUUUCAGAGACCUACAGUGGGUCCCCUUCAUAGGUCAAGAACACUCAACUGAACUAUUCUGAUGUAUGUAGAUGGAAGGGCUUUGGUGAUGGAUCAUGUAUCGUGAUGCAAUUAUAAAACUUUAAUUAUGAAUCAUUUGGAAACAUUUUUUUAUUUUACUAGGCAUAAGUCUAUCUCUUAUGUAUUACUUUGCAAAACAAUGUUUGCUCAUUAGGUCUACU